rnacentral:rRNA from 1 species
AACGAACGCUGGCGGCAUGCCUAACACAUGCAAGUCGAACGAGACCUUCGGGUCUAGUGGCGCACGGGUGCGUAACGCGUGGGAAUCUGCCCUCUGGUUCGGAACAACAGUUGGAAACGACUGCUAAUACCGGAUAAUGACUUCGGUCCAAAGAUUUAUCGCCUGAGGAUGAGCCCGCGUCGGAUUAGCUUGUUGGUGAGGUAAAAGCUCACCAAGGCGACGAUCCGUAGCUGGUCUGAGAGGAUGAUCAGCCACACUGGGACUGAGACACGGCCCAGACUCCUACGGGAGGCAGCAGUGGGGAAUAUUGGACAAUGGGCGAAAGCCUGAUCCAGCAAUGCCGCGUGAGUGAUGAAGGCCUUAGGGUUGUAAAGCUCUUUUACCCGGGAUGAUAAUGACAGUACCGGGAGAAUAAGCCCCGGCUAACUCCGUGCCAGCCGCCGCCGUAACAC